CAUGUAGAACCCUCUGUAGAAAGGGUUCUACAUGGAACCCAAAACGGUUAUGCCUGGAACCAAAAAGGGUCAUUGAAAGGGUUCUCCUAUGGGGACAGCCGAAGAACCCUUAAAGGUUCUAGAGUUUUCCACAACUACAUGCUUCUUGCAGUUGUCAUCACCAUCUUGUUGAAUGUGUUCCUGUGCGCAGAUCAAGUUGAAUAUACCCAUAGCCUCAUGGUUUUGUUUGUUGACCAAUGCAGCAAACUUUAUGGAAAAGAACAAGUGUCAUAGAACAUGUAUGGAUUGGUGCACCUUCGCCAAAAAUCCAAGAAGUAUGGUGCCCUUGACAAAAUCUCUUGUUUCCCAUUUGAAAACUUCCUUGGGCAAAUGAAGAGACUGCUUCGCAAACCUGCACACCCACUGGAGCAGGUUGUUCGUCGACUGUCAGAGAAGAAACUAUACAGAAGAAUGAACACCUCCUAAGCACUGUCCCUGAGAGAGCACAACAGCAGUGACAAAUCAGUUCGAGAAGUUUUACUUCUGAGAAUUUUCUGUGAAAAGGUCAGAGGGGACAACUGUGUCCUGUUACAAAACCAGGAUAUUGCUGUUGUACAGAAUGUGGUCGUCGAUGAAAUGGGCAACAAUUUUGGCAUCUACAAUAGGUUCAGGAACAUGGUCGAUUUCUUCACCUACCCUUUACCAUUUUCCAAGACAGGCAUUUUUCACCUCUCUGGAUUAUCAGAUCAUUUCUGCCUCACCAACUCUACAAAUGUGCUGAAGAAAUACUAUCUUCUUCCUUGCCAAGAUGGAUAUGCUGGCUUUCCAUUGAGCCACUUGUAGACAUGGCCUAGCCCUGUUUGUUUCUGUUCGCCUCUCACAAGGUAAAUAUCUUAGGGUUUCAUUGUAUGAUUGUAGUGUAAAUUAUUAUUUAGUCAAUUGUAAGUGGUCUUUAUGCUUAGUUCUUCCUCUUUCUCUCCUGUCUUUAGAUCAUAAAGUUUGUAGUGAUUCAGUUUCUGGAUGAAAAGAACAAACCAUAUGCAGUAGUUCCACAAGUAGGGAUCAAAGAUAACAUCUGUUAUUGGCCACCACUCAGCCACAGAAAAAAGAACAAAUUAAACAAUUUAGCCAUCGAGUGUACGCCACCAGACAGCACCUGGGAAAGAAGCUGCUUUAAGUUCAUGAAGGGAGCAGACAAUUGGGAGACGGCACAGAUGUAACAUGAAAACAUUGAGGUGCCAGUGGACGUUAGAGUAGCUGAGUUAAAAGCUUUUCUUCCAGUCGCACCACCAGUCCCAACAUUGCGGUGCCAGCGGACUGACUACACUUUAAGGUGCCAAGAUUCCAAAUACAAGAAAAGCAUCAUAUUCCCUAGCAUCGUAUUCACCACAGCAGCAUGUGGAGGACAGCCAUGGAGGACCUAUAAUGAGACAUUUCAACGGGCCAAAUUAUGGUCGUAGAUAUGAAGGUCAGAACAUACCGACUUCAAAUAUGAACAGUCAUGGAGGUACUGUAUGUGGUACAUCCAUUUAGCCCAGGGUAGAAAUCCGGCAGAAAAACAAAUCACUGAAGGAAGACAGGGCAGAAAUGCAAAGACUCCAGCAGGAAAACAGAACCCUGAGGGAAGAAGUUAAGGUGCUAAGGAGUGGGCAAGCAGAUGUCCACUAUCAUCCCCGUGCCCAAGAAAGGGAAAGUAACUGAACUGAAUGACUACAGACUUCCGUCAUCAUGAAGUGCUUCGAGAGGCUAGUCAAAAACCAUAUCAGCUCCUCCCUUCCCAACCCUCUCCAACUCACCUACCGCCCUGACAGAUAAACGGACAACUCAAUCGCCAUUGCACUGCACUCCCACACCUGGACAAAAGGAAUGCAUAUGUUCAUUGACUACAGCUCGGCCUUCAAUAGCAUAGUGCCCUAUAAGCUCAUUACAAAGCUCACGGCCCUGGGUCUAAACUCCUCCCUAUGCAACUGGGUCCUGGAUUUCCUUGACGGGGCUCCUCCAAGUGCUGAAGGUAGGCAACAUUACCUCCUUGACACUGAUUCUCAACAUGGGUGCCCCAAAGGGUGCAUCUUCAGUCCCCUCCUGUAUUCCCUGUAUACCCACGACUGCGUUGUCUCACACAGUUCCAACUCCAUCACAAAGUUUGCUGAUGAUACGAUAGUAGUAGGGCGGAUUACCAACAACGAUGAGACCGCUUACAGGGCGGAGGUAGGCACUCUGAUGAUGUGGUGCCAGGUAAACAACCUCUCCCUCAAUGUUAGCAAAACAAAGGAGCUGAUUGUGGACUUCAGGAGGAACCAGGCUGGAUACACCCCCAUCCUCAUCAACGGGUCCACUGUGGAGACGGUCAAUAACUUCAAAUUCCUCAGCGUACACAUCUCAGAAAAGCUGAAAUUGUCUAACUACAUGGACACCAUAGUGAAGAAGGCACGACAGCAACUCUUCAACCUUAGGACGCAGAAGAAAUUUGGCCUGUCCCGAGGGCCCUCACAGUGUUCUACAGGAGCAACACGAGAGCAUACUGUCGGGCUGCAUCACAGCCAGGUACGGCAACUCCAUUGCCGCAGAUCGUAAGGCUCUUCAGAGGGUGAUAAAUGCAGGCGAAUGCACCAUUGGGUGCACACUGCCUGACCUUCAGGACACCUACAACACCAGGUGUCGCAAGAAGGCCAAGAAGUUCAUCAGGGACCCCAGCCACCCAAACCAUGCCCUGAUCUCCCCGCUUCAAUCACUCAGACGAAUGCGGGCUGUACAGGAACUGCAGGCGGGCAGUACAGGAACCCCCAACAGUCUUUACUCUGCCUCCACGACAAUGGACAAUUAUUUAUUCAUCACUGUCACAGUUGUUAUCAUGUAUAUAGUCCUAUUUCUAUUGUUGUUUUUUAUUACCAUUUUCUUGAUUUUAUUUCACUUAGUCCUGCAUGUUGGAGAUCGAAGCCUAAGAUUUUCACUGUACCUGUCACGACUUCUGCCGAAGUCGAUGCCUCUCCUUGUUCGGGCGGUGUUCGGCGGUUGACGUCGCCGGUCUUCUAGCCAUCGCCGAUCCAUUUCCAUUUGUUUUGUCUUGUUUCCCACACACCUGGUUCUCAUUUCCCUCAUUAUGUGUUGUGUAUUUAACCCUCUGUUCCCCCCAUGUCUUUGUGUGGUAUUGUUUAUUGUAAGUGCUUGUGCACAUUUGUUUGACUGGUGCGCGUCGGGUUAUUGUGCCCAUAUUUGUAUUUUAAACUGCUCCGGCUAUUACCAAGUUCUGCUCUCCUGCGUCUGACUUUCCUGCUACCAGUUACGCACCGCUUACAGUACCCUGCAAUCACACCUGCAACCCUGUGACUAUUAAACACUCUGAAUCUCCCAUAAUUAGUCCUUUCCCAUAAGACACUAAAACAUCUGGAAAAGUCUUAACGGGAAAAAGUAAUGACCCCUAAAUCCAUCUGUAAAUCCAUACUGACCAGUGCCUUUUAAUAAAAAAAACAUUUCCAUUUUAAACAUCUACCACAAAUUUCCUGUCUCAGGUGAUUAAGAGUAAAAACAGGCCAGGGGAUUUCCGAGGUUACUGGCCCAGGCCAAACUCAAGCAAAGGCCACACGAGCACCGCAAAGUACAUUGCCACACUGG
rnacentral:lncRNA from 1 species